rnacentral:misc_RNA from 1 species
CAGAGCCUAAAAACUCUCAAACCCACUGUUAAUUAUACCUUUUUUGUUGCUUUGGCGGGCAGUCCCAGGGCGGGGCCUUGCCUGUAUUUUUUGCAGGUGUCCGCCGAAAGCACCCCUAAAAUUCUUUUUUUUAUGGCUGUCUGAGUUUUAAAAAAAAAUAAGUCA